UACGUAAGGGGCGAGCGUUGUUCGGAUUGACUGGGUGUAAAGGGUCUGUAGGCGGUUCUGUCAGUCGGACGUGAAAGCCCCCCGCUCAACGGGGGAAUGGCGCCCGAUACUGCGGAACUUGAGUAUCGGAGAGGUGAGUAGAAUUCACGGUGUAGCGGUGAAAUGCGUAGAUAUCGUGAGGAAUACCGGUGGCGAAGGCGGCUCACUGGCCGAAUACUGACGCUCAGAGACGAAGGCGUGGGGAGCAAACAGG
rnacentral:rRNA from 1 species